rnacentral:tRNA from 2 species
GCGCACGUGGCGGAAUUGGUAGACGCGCUAGCUUGAGGGGUUAGUGGAGGAAACUCCGUGGAAGUUCGAGUCUUCUCGUGCGCA